CCUACGGGAGGCAGCAGUAGGGAAUAUUGCACAAUGGAGGAAACUCUGAUGCAGCGAUGCCGCGUGAGUGAAGAAGGCCUUUGGGUUGUAAAGCUCUUUCGUCGGGGAAGAAAAUGACGGUACCCGAAUAAGAAGGUCCGGCUAACUUCGUGCCAGCAGCCGCGGUAAUACGAAGGGACCUAGCGUAGUUCGGAAUUACUGGGCUUAAAGAGUUCGUAGGUGGUUAAAAAAGUUGGUUGUGAAAUCCCGAAGCUUAACUUCGGAACUGCAAUCAAAACUUUUUAGCUAGAGUAUGAUAGAGGAAAGCAGAAUUUCUAGUGUAGAGGUGAAAUUCGUAGAUAUUAGAAAGAAUACCAAUUGCGAAGGCAGCUUUCUGGAUCAUUACUGACGCUGAGGAACGAAAGCAUGGGUAGCGAAGAGGAUUAGAUACCCUCGUAGUCCAUGCCGUAAACGAUGUGUGUUAGACGUUGGAAAUUUAUUUUCAGUGUCGCAGCGAAAGCAGUAAACACACCGCCUGGGGAGUACGACCGCAAGGUUAAAACUCAAAUGAAUUGACGG
rnacentral:rRNA from 1 species